UACGUAGGGUGCAAGCGUUGUCCGGAAUUAUUGGGCGUAAAGAGCUCGUAGGCGGUUUGUCGCGUCUGCUGUGAAAACUCGGGGCUUAACUCCGGGCCUGCAGUGGGUACGGGCAGACUAGAGUGCGGUAGGGGAGACUGGAAUUCCUGGUGUAGCGGUGAAAUGCGCAGAUAUCAGGAGGAACACCGGUGGCGAAGGCGGGUCUCUGGGCCGUAACUGACGCUGAGGCACGAGAGCCAGGGGAGCAAACGGG
rnacentral:rRNA from 1 species